GGCUGGUCCAAGUGCAGUGAUGUUUACUUGAUCAUAAUCAGUUACAUUAUGAUAAUUGAUCAUAAUCAGUUACAGGUUUCUUUGUUUCUUCUUCACUCCCACUGCUUCACUUGACUGGCCUUUA
rfam:Homo sapiens chromosome 12, GRCh38 reference primary assembly.